UACGGAGGGUGCAAGCGUUGUUCGGAAUUACUGGGCGUAAAGCGCGUGUAGGCGGUCGGGUAAGUCAGAUGUGAAAGCCCCCGGCUUAACCGGGGAAUUGCAUUUGAAACUGCCUGGCUCGAGUUCGGGAGAGGAGAGUGGAAUUCCUGGUGUAGAGGUGAAAUUCGUAGAUAUCAGGAGGAACACCGGUGGCGAAGGCGGCUCCCUGGCCCGACACUGACGCUGAGACGCGAAAGCGUGGGGAGCAAACAGG
rnacentral:rRNA from 1 species